rnacentral:rRNA from 1 species
GAUGAACGCUGGCGGCGUGCUUAACACAUGCAAGUCGAACGGUGAAGCAGAGCUUGCUCUGUGGAUCAGUGGCGAACGGGUGAGUAACACGUGAGCAAUCUGCCCCUGACUCUGGGAUAAGCGCUGGAAACGGCGUCUAAUACCGGAUACGAGCUGCGAAGGCAUCUUCAGCAGCUGGAAAGAAUUUCGGUCAGGGAUGAGCUCGCGGCCUAUCAGCUUGUUGGUGAGGUAACGGCUCACCAAGGCGUCGACGGGUAGCCGGCCUGAGAGGGUGACCGGCCACACUGGGACUGAGACACGGCCCAGACUCCUACGGGAGGCAGCAGUGGGGAAUAUUGCACAAUGGGCGAAAGCCUGAUGCAGCAACGCCGCGUGAGGGACGACGGCCUUCGGGUUGUAAACCUCUUUUAGCAGGAAAGAAGCGAAAGUGACGGUACCUGCAGAAAAAGCGCCGGCUAACUACGUGCCAGCAGCCGCCGUAACAC